rnacentral:rRNA from 1 species
UACAGAGGUCCCAAGCGUUGUUCGGAUUUAUUGGGCGUAAAGGGUGCGUAGGCGGCGGAGUAAGUUGGGUGUGAAAUCCCGGGGCUCAACCUCGGAAUUGCAUUCAAUACUGCUUCGCUUGAGCACUGGAGAGGAGGCUGGAAUUUACGGUGUAGCAGUGAAAUGCGUAGAUAUCGUAAGGAAGGCCGGUGGCGAAAGCGAGCCUCUGGACAGUUGCUGACGCUGAUGCACGAAGGCCAGGGGAGCAAACGGG